GACGAACGCUGGCGGCGCGCUUAACACAUGCAAGUCGAACGGAAAGGCCUGCUUUCCCUUGUGGAUUGCGGGUACUCGAGUGGCGAACGGGUGAGUAACACGUGAGUGAUCUGCCCCCAACUUGGGUAUAAGCCUGGGAAACUGGGUCUAAUUCCCGAUAGGACUGCAGGGUGGUGCCUGUGGUGGAAAACGAUUUUCUAGUGGUUGGGGAUGAGCUCGCGGCCUAUCAGCUUGUUGGUGGGGUAAUGGCCUACCAAGGCGGCGACGGGUAGCCGGCCUGGGAGGGUGGACGGGCACAUUGGGACUGAGAUACGGCCCAGACGCCUACGGGAGGAAGCAGUGGGGAAUAUUGCACAAUGGGCGGAAGCCUGAUGCAGCGACGCCGCGUGGGGGAUGACGGCCUUCGGGUUGUAAACUCCUUUCGACCGCGAGGAAGCCACCUGGUUGGAAGGGUGGUGACGGUAGUGGUAGAAGAAGCACCGGCUAACUACGUG
rnacentral:rRNA from 1 species